rnacentral:lncRNA from 1 species
AUAGAUUUUAUCAAUUUCUAUGUCAUUUUGAAAAAGAAUAUAGGUUAAAUUUACCAUCAUUUUAAAGAAAAAUACUCAUACAACGACAUCCACAAGCCAAGUACCCCCAGGUCUACUCCACCAAAAUGGUUUUUGUCCAUAACGUCUGUUACACAGUUAACGGUCCUUCUCAAACUCGUGAGCUCAAAAGCACACACAAUUAAAAUGGAAACAAGAGAUUCAGGAAUCCUAUUCCUCUGAAUUACCAGCACAGAACCACAACUCUAAAUACUACAGCAAUAAACUUAUAAUAAUCCUCGUGAAAUAUAGUAUCAAUUAAAUGUUGGUGCAAGAAAUGUAACGCAGAAUUACUGCCGUAUUAACACUCUCUGAAGAUAAAUCACCGAAGACUUUAAACAAGUGCAAAUCGAUUCUAUGAAUAUUUAACACAGCUGGCUGUAUUUAAAAUUUCCCAUAGCAGACAUACACUGGCAUCCAAAAGAGCUGCAAAGGGUUAAAAGUAAAAGAUUAUAUAUGAAUUCAGAAAAAGGAAAGACAGCAGCCUGUGAAUUUUUCUUAUCUUGCAAAUGACAAUAUUUUACAGCCUCAGGGGAAAGAAGACAAAACAGUAUUCCAUAAUGUUAACUCAUUACAGGGUUUAAUAGAAACACCACCCAACUAAUCCUCCGCCUUCUUUCCCAUCUAAAUUUCAUUGCUGAAUUUAAUAAGAGUCCAAUCUCAGAUAAGACAAGAAGGAAAGUUGCAAGAACACAGUAAUGAGAGGAAAGGACAACAACCUGAGAGACUGUUUGUCUCAAGGUAAAGGUGUGGGUCUGUGAAUCUGUAUAAAGCUGCAUGCCUGUCUCCACCUCACCGUCUCCCACAAGGACACAACCGCUUUUGAACGCCCUGGUACCACAGGUUUUGAAUAAGCCUAAGCAAGCCUGCAGAACGGUGGGGUUGUGCUGGUUUUCUUGUUUGAGGGUCUUUAAAAGUAGAGUGAAACUUGCCCAGGUGUUUUCUUUUAUCUUCCAACAGAUCAAGUGCCCCCCCCCCUUCAUUAAGUUUCUUGAUCACCCUCCCUUUCCCACACCUUGACCAUCUACAAGGCAGUUGAUUUAUAAAUAAAUCCCGCGGAGACCAACAUCUAGAGAUGAGCCUCAUGAGGAAAAACUUCCCUUUUAUUAUAUCUAAAGCUCAGUUUAAUUCCACUUCCCUCUUUUUUUUUUUCCUCUGUGAACUCAGUAGAAGGGAAUAAAUCCUUGAAAGAAAAAAAAAAUCCCUUUUAUCUCACAAAAUAAUCACAUGUGCGGAUUCUAUGAGUGAAUAGCUAAUAGGUGUGCCCCUCAAAGGAGGGAAGACAUCAAUGAUCAAAUUUAAUUCUCUCAUUUGUGUUUAAAAGAUUCAGACCUAAUUUGGCCUUAUAGAAACAAAGCAUUUAAUAUCUCCUUUGGUUCUGAAAUUGUGCCAGUCUCCCUGAAAGUUUAAGUUCACACUUUCACCUACAUUCAAUUCCCAGCAAGGGGACAGAGCUUUUCCGAAUAUUUUCACUGAGCCAUUGAGGGAGCUGGAGCAAAACCCAGGGUCCUUCGGUUUAACUCCACUCUGAGUUGCCCUUUUAGAUCUUCUGCUCCCUUACUUUGGCAGACUGGGAAGAUGAGAUAAAAUUCAAGUACGUUAAUUAUACUUUGCUCCUAAUUCUUGAUUUUAAGAUAUGCAAAGGAGAAAAUUGCGAUGCUACUAAAAUUGUUUUUGGAGGUAAAUUAUCCUGUGGACUAAUUAUAUAUAAUUUCUUCAUUUUCUUUAUUCAAGCAAAUGAAUUCCAGAUAAAUUUCCUUUUAGGUCAAAUUUUUCUCCCCUUGAAAAAAUUCAUGACUAAGCCUAUAUAACCUUAACACUGCCUUACUCAACCCUCAAGAACUGAGUAUUACUACGUAUCCUGUUAGGAGGAAAGGAGCUAAAACUUGUCUGAAAGGUGGUAACAUUACAUACUGUGCCAUGAAGUUGCUAUUUCUGAGAAGAGUUAAGACUAAACAACCCUAUAAAAGAAAAGAGGAGGGAGCCUAAGAAGUAUCAAUACCUGACCUCCAACCUAAGAUGAUUACACAAAGGUUUUCCCAUUUCUAGCAUCCUAGUUAC